GUCCAGUUUCUUUUUUAAAAUGCUGGAAAGGAUCCAGGGAAGCUGCAUCAUUUUUAGAUAGGAGAUGACAUCACUUCCCAACUUGCUUAGGAGGCCUAAAGUCUUGCUCUAUUCUUGGUCUAGCACCUCACUUUCCAUUCUCUUUACAACCUAUUGUCCUUUUUUGUACUUAGCCUAGCAGGACCUGGGGGGCCCAGCUUGAAAAAGGAUGUUAGCAUCCCCCUCCCUUCUGCCGACCUACCUCCUCUUGUAGCAACCUGGCGCCCCCUCGACAACUCAUGGCUCUGGAAACCAGAAAUCUGCAAUCAAGGUGUAACCAGGGUUUUCCUUCUUUUUUUGUACCAGGGAUCAAACUCAGGACCUUGCGCUUUCAAGGCAGGCAUGGUGCCACUGAGCUAAAUCCUUGGCAGGGUUUUCCUUCUCAGAGCUGUGAGGGAUGCUCAGUUCCUUCUCUCUUGUCUUGCUUCUUGUAGUCUCAGAUGUUCCUUGGCUUGUAAAUGGCAUUCCCCUUGUGUCUUUACAUCAUCUUCCUUGGGUGUGUCUCUGUGUGCACAUGCCUUGUUUUCAUAAUGACCCACUUUAAUGACCACCUUAAGGACCUCAUCUUAACUUGGUCAUCUACAAAGACCCUAUUUCCAGAUAAGAUGCCUUUCAAGGUGCUGGGGGAUUAGGACUUCAGCAUCUUUUGGAGGCCCACAAUUCACUGGACAGCAGCAACCAAACAAAAUGAGUGUUUUGAUAAUUGUUAUAAGGCAUGACAACAAUUUGUAAGUCCUGAGAGACCAAAAAGAAACUUCUGUUCAAAUAAUACUUGUAAAGGCAAAACUUUGUAACAGAAAACAGGGUGAAUUGGUAUCAAUUACAAACAUACAAAUAUUCAUUUUGCACAAGAGAAGCAAACUGAUAUUCUUGAGAAAGAUUUUCAUUUAAUACCUAUCCAACCAGAUUAUUUGGACUAGUUUUAUAAUGCAAUGGUGUCUCUCCCUCCAAGUGUAAGGGAAUGUUACCCUGUCUGAGGCUUAGUUAUGAAGAUUUGGAUUUGUAGUUAGCACUGAAAAGGAAAGGACAGGGAAAACACCUGAGAAGCUCAGACCUUACACUCUCCCUUCCAAAUUAUUUUGCGUGCUUUUUGGUGCAGCAUAUUGUUAAAGUAUGGUAUGACAAAGUCAGGUUCAAGCGCUGAGUGACCCAGUUACCUAUGUCCAGUUACUUUAAUCAUUUUAGAUCUUGUGGCUUUGGGUUGUGGUUUUUUCCUGUUUGUUUUUGCAGUGCUGGAUUUAAACCUAGGGCUCCACAAAUGGUAGGCAAGUGCUCUACCUCUAAGCCACACCAUUCAUUCAUUCAUUCAUUUUUGGGGCAAGGUCUUGCUGAGUUGCCCAGGCUGGCCUCAAACUUGACAGCCUCCUGCCUCAGUUUUCUGAGUUGCUGAGAUUACAGGUGUGUGUGCCCGCAGUUUGUAGAAUUUUAAAGGAGAAAAUUUUGCUGUUUAAAAAAAAUUGUUUUUAAUAGAUCUUUCUAUUGAUUUUGUGAAAGUUUUACCAAAAUUUAUUUUAAACAUGAGGUGAUUUCAAAUAAGAGCAAGAGCUCUCCAAGGAUUCUCUGCAGAAAAUUUUCUGACAGCAGAAUAAAUUUGUCCCCGGAGUCUUCUGAGUUUUGUUCAGAAUUCUUUCCCUUUAGACUUAUUUCACUCAGUUUGUUUUUUAGCUCCUUGUUUGUUUUUAUUUUUGUUAUCUAGAUGCUAAUCUUUGUUUGCCCAAGUUCUGACAUUUUUACCCUAGAGUUAAUUACUCCAGAUGGUGGACUCUUCUGUUUUGCAAGCAAAUAAAGUGGA
ensembl:lncRNA